UUAUGGUAGAUCAACUCAGUUAUUGCACUUAAGAAUGAACAUUGAAGACAAGCUGGGAGGAUUAUUUCUUAAAUGUGGUGGCAUAGACCAAAUGCAGUCAUCCAGGGCUAUGGUAGGGAUGGGUGCAGUAUCCGACCAGUCUGGAGUGUCGGGAGAACGGCAAGAGGCAGUGCUUCAAGAUCGGACUAUGGCGCACCAAGAAAUUCUUGCAACAGAUGAAGUGUUACAGGAAAGUGAACUUCGACAGCAAGAGAUGAUUUCACAUGAUGAACUCAUGGUCCAUGAGGAGACGGUAAAAAAUGAUGAUGACAUGGAUACCCAAGACAGACUUCCUCAAGGGCUGCAGUAUGCUGUGAAUGUCCCUAUCAGUGUAAAGCAAGAAAUUACCUUUACUGAUGCAUCUGAACAACAGAAACGAGACAAAAAACAAAUACGAGAGCCAGUAGAUUUGCAGAAAAAGAAGAAAAGAAAACAGCGUUCACCAGCAAAAAUCCUUACAAUAAAUGAGGAUGGAUCACUUGGUCUGAAAACCCACAAAUCUCAUGUUUGUGAGCAUUGCAAUGCUGCCUUUAGAACCAACUACCAUUUACAGAGACAUGUCUUCAUUCAUACAGGUGAAAAACCAUUUCAGUGCAGUCAGUGCGACAUGCGUUUCAUUCAGAAGUACCUGCUACAGAGGCAUGAGAAGAUUCAUACUGGUGAGAAGCCAUUUCGUUGUGAUGAAUGUGGUAUGAGGUUUAUUCAGAAGUAUCACAUGGAAAGGCACAAAAGAACGCACAGUGGAGAGAAGCCUUACCAGUGUGAAUAUUGUUUGCAGUAUUUCUCCAGGACUGAUCGUGUGCUGAAACAUAAACGUAUGUGCCAUGAGAACCGUGACAAGAAACCGAACAGAAGUGCCACCAAAGUUGGCUUUUUGCCAUCAGAGGAAGAUUCUGGUUUCUCUACACCUAUGAAAGACAGCUCCUUGCCAAAGAAGAAGAGGCAGAAAACAGAGAAAACAAAAUCUGUGGAUAAGGAAAGUACAGAUAAGUCAGAACAGAAGAAGGACAAAAAUGACUAUUUGCCUUUGUACUCUGCUAGUACUAAAGUGAAAGAUGAAUAUAUGGUAGCGGAGUAUGCCGUUGAGAUGCCACAUUCUUCUGUCGGUGGGACGCACUUAGAAGAAGCAAAUUCUGGAGAAAUACACCCACCUAAGCUGGUUCUCAAGAAAGUUAACAGCAAGAGGAGUCUGAAACAGCCACUUGAGCAAAGUCAAACCAUUUCACCUUUAUCUACAUAUGAAGACAACAAGGUUUCAAAAUAUGCCUUUGAUCUUGUGGAUAAACAAGGUUUACUGGACUCUGAGGGUAAUGCUGACAUCGAUCAAGUGGAUACAUUACAAGAAGGGCCCAGUAAACCAGUACACAGCAGCACUAAUUAUGAUGAUGCAAUGCAGUUUUUAAAGAAAAAGAGGUAUCUACAAGCAGCUAGUAAUAACAGUAGAGAAUAUGCCUUGAAUGUAAGUACCAUAGCAUCUCAGCCUUCGGUAACACAGGCAGCUGUGGCAAGCGUCAUUGAUGAAGCUGCUACAGCAUCAAUAUUAGACACACAGGCCUUGAAUGUUGAAAUUAAAGGUAACCAUGACAAAAAUGUCAUUCCAGAUGAGGUACUGCAAACCCUGUUAGAUCAUUACUCGCACAAGGCUAAUGGACAACAUGAAAUAUCUUUCAGUGUGGCUGACACUGAGGUGACCUCCAGUAUAUCAAUCAAUUCUUCUGAAGUAUCUGAGGUAACCCCAUCUGAGACAGUUGGAACAAGCUCUCAGGCUUCCUCAUCAGAUAAAGCUAGUAUGUUACAGGAAUAUUCAAAGUUUUUACAACAAGCUUUGGACAGAACUAGCCAAAAUGAUGCCUAUUUGAACAACCCAAGCCUUAAUUUUGUGACUGAUAACCAGACUCUUACAACCCAGCCAGCAUUUCCUUCCAUAGAAAAACAGGUCUACACGUCUAUACCGGUCAAUAGCUUUCGAUCGGGAAUGAACUCCCCGUUAAGAACAACUCCAGACAAGUCUCAUUUUGGACUAAUGGUUGGUGAAUCGCAGCACCCUUUUCCCUUUUCAGGUGAUGAGGCAAAUCAUUCUUCCUCAUCCUCUACACAGGACUUUUUGGAUCAAGUAACUUCUCAGAAGAAGGCAGAGGCACAGCCUGUUCAUCAAGCGUAUCAAAUUAGCUCCUUCGAGCAACCCUUCAGAGCUCAGUACCAUGGGGCAAGAGCUGGCAUAUCAUCUCAGUUUAGCACUGCCAAUGGACAGGUGAACCUUCGGGGACCAGGGACAAGUGCUGAAUUCCCAGAAUUUCCAUUGGUGAAUGUAAAUGACAGUAGAGCUGGGAUGACUUCUUCACCUGAUGCCACAACGGGCCAGACUUUUGGCUAAGAAAUCUUUGUAAAUAAUACUGGCACUUUAGAACACAUUUGUCGAAACGGGGUUGCUCUGUAUAAGACGGAGUUCUGUACAGCUUUUAAGAGCGAUAUGUUAAAACAAAAGUAAGCUGAUAUUAGCAAGACCAAUAACUGCUUUUAUUUUUUUUUUUGGUUAGUCACCAGUCAUUGAACUGCCUGAUGUUGUUGCCCCUAUCAAAGGCAGUUUAUUAUUCACUUGUUUGAAUACAGAAACUAUUUUACCUUCUAUGAAAUUUAAAAUAAACAAAAUCCCCAGUGUUGUCUUAAGGAAAACUGUGGUUCCAGAAGAAAAUAGGACAACAAAAUAUUCAUGUGGAUUAACACUUCCCUUACUUUUAUAUUGUACUUGUCAAUUUUGGGGAUGAAGGUAGCUUUUAAUUGUUAAAUGAGAGAUACAGUAAAAUCUUGCUAAUUCGCUGACUGUUAAUCAGAGCAUCCAGUAAGUUUUGCACAUCCAUGAUGGUCUCUCCCCACCUCUCUGCAAAGUUCUAAAAAAUACUGUAGUGAGGUCUCGUAUUAGGGAUCCUGUAUUGCUUCACCCAAGUAUACUACAGAAUCUAUAUUAGUAUACUGGGAGGUACAAGAAACAUCAAAAACUAAAUUACAAUUGUCAAAAUAAACGAAGAAAGUAUGUUUUGUGAUGUGACAUCCUUGCUUUUCUUGCCUGCUUCUUCACUAUUUUCAAAAUUGUGAUUUGUGAAGGGUUUCUAAGUCAUUGCUGCGAAUUAUUGGGGUUCUACUGUAACUUUUGGAGUUUAUUCUGAAGAAUUUGUGUUCUCCUAUGAAAACUUUCCACCUGGACAUAUACAAUAUAUUCCAUGCUUGUUCAAAGUAUUUUUAUAGUAUUUGUAUCAUAUGUAGUAACUAUUUGAAAUGAACCAGAAUAUUUGGAUGAAUCCUCCCUAAAUUUUGCAGCAUUGGAUUUCUUUACGUAUGUAUAUUUGCUAACUAAAUUUUGUUUAUAAGGAUUUUGAUUUUUAUUCUUGUUCGUUUGCUUGUUUAAAUACGAUUGCAAAUUGCAGGGAAAAUCCUAAUUUUCCUGGGAAACCAUUUGGAAAUUUUAACAGGCAGAAAUAUGCUUAUGCAGUUGGUACCAGUACACAUGGGAACUUUCAAAUUACAUGUUUGGUACUGAAGCAGUGAAUAAUGUUACACUUUCCUAGUUUUAAAUGUUUUGCUAAAAUGAAGCCUUGUAACUUUGAAAGUUCAUUCAACUUAUGGUAAUGCAUGUUUAUGUUAGGCAUGUAAUGCAUUUAGCUAAAGCUCACGUUGCAAAGGACAAGUACUAAGAAAGUAUUACUGCUAAUGAAAAGGAACGUCUUUAAGUUAAAAUUUAAACUUUUGUUCCAUUUUAAAUUGCUUUGUGUCAGGGAAAUAAAUUUAUAGUUGCUUUUGCUAAAACUCUGCAUAUAAAACCUUAUGUUUCCUUUUUAAAAUCGUAUCUUUUGGUAGGAAACAAACUGAGGCAAGCAAACGUUUCUAAGAGUUGUUUCUUGCUUUCCUUAAUCCAAUGGAUGGAAAGGUAAUAUUGUGUAAACAACAUUAUUUUAUUUUUUUAUGCAAUAUCAUGCUGUAAAUAUGAUUUAUCAAAUAAGGAUGUACCUAUGAUUGAAUCUUUGAUUCUGCACAGUUAGAGUUUAUAUAUAAAUAUAAAUGUGUCUUGACAAUCAAGGACUUAUGUCAGUCUUCCUUUAUGAUGUUUAUUAUUGUUAUGCAUUCCAUUUGUUUGAAUUAAGUACAAAUGUGGAAAUUUGUAUUGUCUGUAAAGUAUGUAAUGUUUUUAUAGCUUGUUUAAAAAACAAACAAAUCCUGUAAAUACAUACGAACUGAUCACAGUACCGCUCUGUUAGAAGGCAUAUGAUGUUGUACUGUUUGUAAGCAAUAAUACAGGACAGUGCUAACUUUACAAGUAGCAUAAGGAUAGUUCCAAAAAUACUUUUGGAGUUAAUAGCCUUGUUUGAGUUAAUGAAUACUCUUAAUCAUUUUUUUAUAAAUAAAUUCAAAUGUCCUCCUGCUGGAGUAUAUAACGUUGUUUACACAGCACAAUUUCAGUCGCAGAGGGGACAGUCUUUAGAUCUAUGGCUUCAUCCGUACACACUUUGAGUAAGAAAUGAAUGGCUUGGCUGCACUUCUGCAAGAUGAGGAAGACUGCAAAAGUUGAAUAGCUCUGUCUCUAAAGGAUGAGAGAUACUAUUCUGCUUCUGUGCUGAUUCCUGACAAUUCCUCUACUUAAAUUUGGAGUCUUUAAGUCCCGAUACUGAACUCAUGAGACUUGGGCCUCCAGUAGAAAGGAGUAGUUCUCGUCUUAUUUCAUGUGCAGAUAAACAGUGAAACUUACAAGUCACAUUUCAUUUGGGUUGCUUAUUUUUCAAAUUAUGAGUUACGAGAUGAUGAGAUGGUUUUAUUUGAUUACUAAAACAUCAAACUUACCGUUUGAAUUGAGUAGGUAUUAGACUGUACAGAGCAGCAUAACUAUUUGAACACAGUCAUCACUGCUUUAGAACCUCCCCACCCCCAAUUUAUAAAUGUAUAUGACCUACGUUUUAUAGAAAAAAAUGUUUUUAAAUGCUAGUCAUUUAUAUAAUAUGUGCUUUGAAGGAUUUGCUAGUCCACUUCUGUCACUUUUAGUACACUGGUAUCUUUUAUAUGUAAUGUAUGCUUUUUAUUAUUGUAGUAAAGCAUUUCAGUAGGAGGAAUUUUGCAACAGUAUGAGGGGUUGGAAUUUUCAUUGUCAGAAAUGAAUUAUACUGGACUUUGUCUGUGUAGUCUUGUCUUUCUUUUAAUGCUGUCUGGAAGGGAACUUGGUAUGCAAUAAAGCAAGUGACCUCCUUUUAUUUUGAAGGCAUACUAUGUAGUGCUGAAUUGAAUAUGGAAAUAUGAUGAAUCUGAAGAGAGAGAAAUUAGUACAAAAUCUAGUGUACAGGAGAAAAUAAAUGUGUUAUGAAAAACCUGAUGAUAUAUAUAGUGGAAAACUGUUACAGUGGAAUUUCUGAUAUAGUGUUAUUUUCCUUAAGUCCAUAUGCCGCCUUUGUAUUUCAGCUAAUAAAAAAAAAAUCCUUAUAGAUAAUUUUUUGGCAGGAUUAUAGGUUUAUUUCAAUGAUUAUCCAGUAUUUCUUUAUUCUACAAUAUCAAUUCCGUCCCUUUAUUGUCAGUGUAAAAAUUAAAAUGACAAAAAAGAUCAUAACGUGAAUUCCAUCAGUAAAACUCUGUAUAUAGGCAACAGAUGGCUUUGUAGGAACCUGAGAAGUAUGAAUUUGUAUAUUCCUUAUGUUUCUGACAGAGAGCAGUAGGUGAGUCUUUCUUUAUUCCUGUGAAAUGAGGAAUUUCCUGAUACAAAGUGUGGGGGUGUGCGUGCGUGCGUGCGUGUAUGUAUGUAUAUGAAGGAUAUUUGGGUCUCAUGGCAAAACCGAUUCAAAUACAAAAGGAUUUGCUGUAGUUCAAGACGUGGCUUACAUGUAAUAUGUAAAAAAACAAAAACCAUAUAAAUUUCGUAAUCAAUUCAAAAAGACAAAAAUAGUUUUGCAGGAAACAAAACUAUUUGGAUAGCAGGCUUGACCAAAUGAACUUUUUGGUUGAACUUGAUAUAUUUUAAAUGAUUCUAUUUCAGCCUUUAUUUCUGCCCUAAAAGCAACUUAAAAUAUUUCGGAAGUUAAUCUUCCUUUUCAUUUGACUGUGAGUGUAAUUUAUAUCAUGGUUUACAAAAUAUGGCAUGAAGGAUUGGAUUGUUUUAUCUGUAUAAUACAAUGAAAGAUUGCGUUUUACAUGAUCAUGGUGAAUGGUAUUGUAUUCUUAGAAUUGAUUUAUUCAUUACGUGACUUAAAUGAGUUUCAGCGCUUUUGACAUUACUGUUUUCUUAUGGUUAACUUAGUCAUUUUGGGUUUAUAAUACCCUUCUAUGUAUCAUGAUACUAAGGGAAGUUAUGUUUUUGCUUUAUUUUUAAUUAAACUAAUAGUUUGAUAAUUUAUAUUUGCAAAUGAUGCAUUUUAAAUGUGGUCACUUGCUGUUUGAAAAAUAAAAAUACAGAAUACUGUUUUAUGAAUAGACUUAGCAGUAUUUUUCAUGUUAGAUACUUUCAGACAAAAUCUACUUUCUUAAUGAGAAGGACGAAGGCAUGUGUGCAAGAACUA